UUUUACUUUAGUCCAAAAUCUACUCUCCGUAAAAAAAAUCACCGUUAAGUCCUCUGACGUGACAAAUCUACGUCAACACAAAAUCUGAUGUGGGAAAAGCUCCACAAAAUGUCAUCAUUCCUUUUUAUGGAUAUUGAGAGAAGUUACAGCGUUGCUGCUUCUUCUUUUUCCCUUGGAGCAACGCUUUGUGCUCUGAAGAUUGGGAAAUUAGGUUUGGCUUUUACAUCUUCAAUUCGCCCUCAAAGAGCGAUUCGCUCUCGACGCGCAAAGCCAAAGCUGAUGAGCUUCCCCGCUAUUGGUGCGCCAACCCCUCUCCAUGCGUAGCCUCUCGAGUCGUCUCACUCGAAGGAAUUAAUCGCGGACAAGAGGAAUUCCUCCAUGAAACGACUUGAGUGGUGGACUUCAUAGCGCUCGAUCUCUUCCUAUACAGGCUCGCACUUGGUUGCUCGCUCAGAGGAGAUGGUGGCAGAAACUACAAACGACCCGUGUGAAGACCAGGUUAAUUUUCAUGAUGAUUCGAGUGGAUGUUUGUUGAUUACGAUCAUCUAGAAUGGGAUUAGUGCAAGAUUAGCAUCAAAUCCGAGUUAAUAUGUUGUUUCUCCUUUUGUCAAGCGUAUACAACCUGUUUGAUGAUAUUUUUUAAUUAUUGGACAGCAUUCUUAACGUAAUUUCAUAGUUGCUGAGUAUGCUA